CUGUCAUCAAGCGCCGCAACUCCCACCCACCCACCUCCGGCCUCCAAUGAAAAGGCCCGCGGCCCGCCGAGACCAGGAGCUGCGCGUGAGUGGCCUGCCGCCCGUCAACACGCAGAGGAUCUCGCGGCCAGCGAAGACGCCGAGGAGGCCGCCGCCGUAGCCGCUAUACAGGGCAGGAAGAGGAACCUGAUCAACUUGGCGGUGUAAUCGAGAUCGCACAGAUGGGGUCCCUCACAGGUUCUUGGAUGAUGAACUUGUGUGGGGGUCCAAUAUGCUCCAACCAAGAUGUGCUUUCAUGUGCCUUCAAGGAAGUCUUCGACUCUUCCACUUGCACGAAUCAUCUGGUGGCGACUAGCAUCGCCUUGCUGCUUGUCCUCGCGCUCGCGCUCCAGCUGCUUAUCAAAAUCCCGAAGAGUAGAGCGUCUGCUCAAGGGCUCGUCGCACUCGGCUCACCACUGCAGUUGGCUGCAGUGGUCUUCAGUGGCUGUUUGGGGUUGGCUUAUCUUGGCCUAGGACUGUCGAUGUUAUUGCAGUGCUGAUACAAGCUAAGGUUGGUUUCACUCGGAUAUCAAAGUUUCUUGAUGCACCUGAGCUGAAUGGACAAGUUAGGAAGAAAUACCGCGUGAGCAUCGAUUGCCCAAUAGUGAUGAACUCAUGCAGUUUCUCCUGGGAUGAGAAUCCAUCAAAACCAACUCUAAACAAUAUAAAUCUGGUGGUGAAAGCUGGAGAAAAGGUUGCAAUUUGUGGAGAGGUAGGAUCAGGGAAGUCAACGCUUUUGGCUGCUGUACUUGGAGAGGUCCCCAAAACUGAAGGCACGAUUGAAGUCUGUGGGAAAAUAGCAUAUGUUUCUCAGACUGCAUGGAUCCAAACAGGAACUGUACAGGAUAAUAUCCUCUUCGGAUCUUUGAUGGACAGACAGAUAUACCAAGAAACAAUUGAGAGAUGCUCAUUGGUCAAGGACCUUGAAAUGCUGCCAUUCGGCGACCGUACACAAAUUGGGGAGAGAGGAGUAAAUCUAAGUGGUGGUCAGAAGCAGCGUGUUCAGCUUGCUCGUGCACUAUACCAGAAUGCAGACAUAUAUCUUCUUGAUGACCCUUUCAGUGCCGUUGAUGCCCAUACAGCAACAAGCCUCUUCAAUGAUUAUGUCAUGGGUGUUCUAUCUGACAAGACUGUUCUUUUGGUCACCCACCAAGUGGAUUUUCUACCUGUAUUUGACUCCAUUCUGUUAAUGUCAGAUGGGGAGGUUAUUCGGUCUGCACCUUAUCUAGAUUUAUUGGCAGAUUGCCAAGAAUUCAAGUACCUUGUAAAUGCACAUAAAGAUACUGUCGGUGUUCAAGAUCCUAACAGUAUGCCCCCCACGGAGCAAAGGAAAUACCAACAAAGGAGACAGAUGGAAUUCAUGUAAACAGAUACAUAGAGUCUGUGGGGCCAUCACCAGUAGAUCAACUGAUCAAGAAAGAGGAAAGAGAAUCAGGGGAUACAGGUCUUAAGCCCUAUAUGCUCUACCUGCGCCAGAAUAAAGGCUUCUUGUAUGCCUCUCUUUCUGUUAUGUCUCACAUAGUUUUCUUAGCUGGGCAAAUAUCCCAGAAUUCAUGGAUGGCUGCCAAUGUCCAAAAUCCUCAUGUUAGUACACUGAAGUUAAUUUCUGUGUACGUUGGUAUUGGAGUUUGCACAAUGAUCUUUGUGCUAUCGAGAUCUUUAUUUGUCGUUGUUCUUGGCAUCCAAACUUCAAGAUCCUUAUUUUCCCAGUUACUCAAUUCAUUGUUCCGUGCACCUAUGUCCUUCUUUGAUUCUACUCCUCAAGGAAGGAUUCUUAGCCGGGUCUCUUCAGAUUUGAGUAUCGUUGACCUUGAUAUUCCAUUUGCAUUCAUGUUUAGCCUCAGUUCCAGCUUAAACGCAUAUAGCAAUGUGGGGGUAUUGGCUGUUGUUGUAUGGCAAGUUCUCUUUGUAGCACUGCCGAUGAUAGUUUUGGUAAUUCAGUUGCAGAGGUACUAUUUAGCCUCAGCUAAGGAAUUGAUGCGGAUCAACGGAACCACCAAGUCUGCUCUAGCAAAUCAUUUAGGUGAAUCGAUCUCAGGGGCUAUAACAAUACGUGCCUUUGAGGAGGAAGAUCGUUUCUUUGCCAAAAAUCUGGAGCUUGUUGACAAGAAUGCCGGUCCAUACUUCUUUAAUUUUGCAGCAACUGAAUGGUUAAUUGAACGUCUGGAAAUAAUGGGUGCUGUGGUUCUUUCUUCUUCUGCCUUUGUCAUGGCUCUUCUUCCUGCAGGAACUUUUAGCCCUGGUUUUAUUGGAAUGGCAUUGUCCUAUGGCCUUUCCCUAAAUAAUUCCUUUGUUAACACCAUACAAAAGCAAUGUGACCUCGCAAAUAAAAUAAUAUCUGUGGAACGGGUGAACCAGUACAUGGACAUUCCGAGUGAAGCACCAGAAGUUAUUGAAGAAAACCGACCAGCACCAGAUUGGCCCCAAGUUGGCAGCGUGGAGCUUAAAGAUCUGAAGAUUAGGUACAGGGAAGAUGCACCCCUUGUACUACAUGGUAUCACUUGCAAAUUUCAAGGUAGAGAUAAGAUUGGUAUUGUUGGUCGAACAGGAAGUGGCAAGACAACUUUAAUUGGUGCAUUGUUUCGCCUUGUUGAACCUGCUGAAGGGAAAAUAAUUAUAGACUCUGUGGACAUCAGUACAAUAGGCUUGCAUGACCUGCGUUCGCGUUUGGGCAUCAUUCCACAAGAUCCAACACUUUUUCAGGGUACAGUAAGAUACAAUCUAGAUCCUCUUGGGCAAUUCUCGGAUCAGCAAAUAUGGGAGGUUCUUGACAAAUGUCAACUUCUUGAAGCUGUCCAGGAGAAGAAACAGGGAUUGGAUUCACUUGUUGCGGAAGACGGGUCGAACUGGAGCAUGGGCCAAAGGCAGCUCUUUUGUUUGGGGCGCACACUUUUGAAAAGGUGCCGCAUCUUGGUCCUUGAUGAAGCAACAGCCUCUAUAGACAACACAACAGACGCCGUCCUUCAAAAAACGAUCCGGACAGAAUUCAAACAUUGCACCGUUAUUACGGUCGCCCACCGUAUACCAACAGUUAUGGACUGCGACAUGGUACUUGCAAUGAGUGAUGGGAAAGUAGCGGAGUAUGACAAACCCUCGAAGCUCAUGGAAACUGAAGGAUCUCUCUUCCGCGAGCUGGUGAACGAGUACUGGUCAUACACAUCAAACGGAAACAUUUAGAAGAGAUUCUUGACGGUGUGUGUUUGGUGCUGCUGCCUCGACAAGAGAAAACACCAUAUAUAGUUUAAUCUCUUGACAUACCUCAGAGGGAUUCAUCUACUGGAGAUCUGAAGAAAAUACGGUGCCAUCUUUCAGUCAUUUCCCGGAAAAAAAUUUUUUUGCUCUCUACAGCUACCUGAAAGUUCGAGCUACAUACGGUUUAGCCUAUGUUCGUUGACUAUUGCCACUCUUCGAAAGCGCUGAGGCUGAACGGAACAAAAAAAAAAGCAUACCUACCUUAGGCGGUGCCGGUGCCGGUUCUGUUUUCUUUUUUGUUCGAAUAUGGUUCUGUUGUUUUAUUGCGAAAUAAUAUGGUUCUGUUGACCCCAUUCAGGCUGAGGUGAUGCUUUUCGAUUUAAUCCAGGCAUCAACCAUGCAUGCAUGUUUGGACAAAACUAAAUUAGGGAAUCUAGUGGAAAAUUUUGAUAUGAUAUCAUUAAUAAUUGAUGUUGAAUUGUUGA